CAGACGAGAUGACCCGCUGAAUUUAA
rnacentral:rRNA from 1 species